UAUAAGAGUGUUAAGCUCGUAUGCGUAGUGAAAGCGAUAGCUGUGAAAUUUGCAACAGCGGCCAGGCUUUAAUGUUUGUGUUUGAGCAUAAUUUGUUAGACCCGAAAGAUGGUGAUCUAUACCUGAGUUGGGUGAAGCCAGAGGAAACUCUGGUGGAAGCCCGCAGCGAUACUGACGUGCAAAUCGUUCGUCGAACUUGGGCAUAGGGGCGAAAGACUAAUCGAACCAUCUAGUAGCUGGUUCCCUCC
rnacentral:ncRNA from 1 species